CCUACGGGAGGCAGCAGUGGGGAAUAUUGGACAAUGGGGGCAACCCUGAUCCAGCCAUGCCGCGUGUGUGAAGAAGGCCCUCGGGUUGUAAAGCACUUUCAGUGAGGAAGAACGCCUGGUGGUUAAUACCCAUCAGGAAAGACAUCACUCACAGAAGAAGCACCGGCUAACUCCGUGCCAGCAGCCGCGGUAAUACGGAGGGUGCGAGCGUUAAUCGGAAUUACUGGGCGUAAAGCGCGCGUAGGUGGCUUGAUAAGCCGGUUGUGAAAGCCCCGGGCUCAACCUGGGAACGGCAUCCGGAACUGUCAAGCUCGAGUGCAGGAGAGGAAGGUAGAAUUCCCGGUGUAGCGGUGAAAUGCGUAGAGAUCGGGAGGAAUACCAGUGGCGAAGGCGGCCUUCUGGACUGACACUGACACUGAGGUGCGAAAGCGUGGGUAGCAAACAGGAUUAGAUACCCUAGUAGUC
rnacentral:rRNA from 1 species